rnacentral:rRNA from 1 species
GGGACACGUGGUAUCCUGUCUGAAUAUGGGGGGACCAUCCUCCAAGGCUAAAUACUCCUGACUGACCGAUAGUGAACCAGUACCGUGAGGGAAAGGCGAAAAGAACCCCGGCGAGGGGAGUGAAAAAGAACCUGAAACCGUGUACGUACAAGCAGUGGGAGCACCUUCGGGUGUGACUGCGUACCUUUUGUAUAAUGGGUCAGCGACUUAUAUUCUGUAGCAAGGUUAACCGUAUAGGGGAGCCGCAGGGAAACCGAGUCUUAACUGGGCGUUAAGUUGCAGGGUAUAGACCCGAAACCCGGUGAUCUAGCCAUGGGCAGGUUGAAGGUUGGGUAACACUAACUGGAGGACCGAACCGACUAAUGUUGAAAAAUUAGCGGAUGACUUGUGGCUGGGGGUGAAAGGCCAAUCAAACCGGGA